rnacentral:rRNA from 1 species
UACGGGAGGCAGCAGUGGGGAAUAUUGCACAAUGGGCGCAAGCCUGAUGCAGCCAUGCCGCGUGUAUGAAGAAGGCCUUCGGGUUGUAAAGUACUUUCAGUCGUGAGGAAGGUGUUAAGGUUAAUAACCUUAGCAAUUGACGUUAGCGACAGAAGAAGCACCGGCUAACUCCGUGCCAGCAGCCGCGGUAAUACGGAGGGUGCGAGCGUUAAUCGGAAUUACUGGGCGUAAAGGGCACGCAGGCGGUUAAUUAAGUUGGAUGUGAAAUCCCCGGGCUUAACCUGGGAAUGGCAUUCAAGACUGGUUAGCUAGAGUCUUGUGGAGGGGGUAGAAUUCCGAUGUGUAGCGGUGAAAUGCGUAGAGAUGUGGAGGAAUACCGGGUGGCGAAGGCGGCCCCUGGGACAAAGACUGACGCUCAUGUGCGAAAGCGUGGGGAGCAAACAGGGAUUAAAUACC